CAUGAGUGGCGGACGGGUGAGUAACGCGUGGGCAACCUGGCCUGUACAGGGGGAUAACACUUAGAAAUAGGUGCUAAUACCGCAUAACGGGGGAAGCCGCAUGGCUUUUCCCUGAAAACUCCGGUGGUACAGGAUGGGCCCGCGUCUGAUUAGCCAGUUGGCAGGGUAACGGCCUACCAAAGCGACGAUCAGUAGCCGGCCUGAGAGGGUGGACGGCCACAUUGGGACUGAGACACGGCCCAAACUCCUACGGGAGGCAGCAG
rnacentral:rRNA from 1 species